GUCUACUUUUCCUCCUUGAAAACUUGCUCUCAUCGCAGAUCAUCAACAAAUAACAGCAGAGACUUAUCCCAUCCUCAUCAUUGAAGAUUUUGUUCAACUACAAUCUCCAUGAGAAAGCAGAAACCACCAGACAAAAACUUGCUCCCACAAACCAGUAAUUUCAAUUGCAUCCAAGGAAUAGUCGACUCCAGCACCACUUGAAGGAGGAAAAGUAGACUCCAACACCCCUAGAAGCAGGUCUUCAAGAACCAAUAGUCACAACCGAAUGUAGGUGCAUUUACAGCACCACAAAGCUACAUACAGUGAGAGUACACUCUAUGCCAGGCAUACCAACCACUAAAAAUACAACAAAUAUCCCUCAAGGGCGUGAAACCAACCCCACCUCCCUUGACAAGAACAUUAACAGACAAUAAAGAUACCACGACUUACAAUAAUGCCCAACGCAUGGCAUAGGACACUACAAUUUGGCACAUACGAAUAUUGCAAUAGACCUUUCACUACAACAUUGCUCAUAUAUGCAUGUAACCUGAUUUAAGAAAAUUGUAAGUUGCGCAUGAUAACAACUGG
rnacentral:misc_RNA from 1 species